UACAGAGGGUGCAAGCGUUGUUCGGAAUUACUGGGCGUAAAGCGCGUGUAGGCUGCUUAUUAAGUCGGACGUGAAAUCCCUAGGCUUAACCUAGGAACUGCGUCCGAUACUGUUAGGCUUGAGUAUCGGAGGGGGUGGCGGAAUUCCUGGUGUAGAGGUGAAAUUCGUAGAUAUCAGGAGGAACACCUGUGGCGAAGGCGGCCACCUGGAAGAUAACUGACGCUGAGACGCGAAAGCGUGGGGAGCAAAC
rnacentral:rRNA from 1 species